rnacentral:rRNA from 1 species
GUCCACGCUGUAAACGAUGAGGACUGGCUGUUGGGCGCCGUGAGGCGCUUAGUAGCGAAGCUAACGCGUUAAGUUCUCCGCCUGGGGAGUACGGCCGCAAGGCUAAAACUCAAAGGAAUUGACGGGGGCCCGCACAAGCGGUGGAGCAUGUGGUUUAAUUCGACGCAACGCGAAGAACCUUACCUACUCUUGACAUCCACGGAACCUAGCCGAGAGGUUGGGGUGCCUUCGGGAACCGUGAGACAGGUGCUGCAUGGCUGUCGU